rnacentral:rRNA from 1 species
AUGGAGUUUCUCUUCCUUGACGAGGAGGACUGGGCGGAGAUGGAGGCGGAUAAGGAGAAGGAGGCGGAGAGGCGCCGGCGGGAGGAAGAGGAGAAGGCGCGGAGGACGGAGGAGAACCGGCGGAGACGCGAGGCACACGAUGCGGUCAUGGACUCCAUCAUCCAGCACGAUCCCAAGGUGGGGCGCGACGUCUACACCCGAUUCUUUCUCAGAGAUUUCUCCGUCUUUGACAUCAACGAAGAGUCGUCUGUCCCUCCAAUGCGAUACACCGAUAGUAUCUAUGAAGAAGAAUUUGGGUUAGAAGACUCUGCAAACAUACUCUCCGUCAGCAUAGUCUCCUCAGAUGUAGGUUUCCCAGUCAAUGUCUAUGGCCGUGUCAUUGCCAGAGACAGCAUUGACUACAAGUGCACUUAUCUCUUUCACCGCAGUAGAGAUGAUUGCCAGCGUCUCAACAAGGAUGGAAUGCUGAUUUUAACUGGCCCAGGUCGAGGACUAGUGCUGGUUGAUUUCAUCUAUCUAGAGAUAGAUCUUAAAAUCAGGGAAGAUGGAGUGUCUCCAGACAAGCCAUUUAGCAAGGGUCUAAUAAAUAUUGAUGGCCGAGUACUGUCUAGAGAGGAAGAUGUCGUGGUUAGAAGGGAAACCCUUGAGAGCUGGCUUAGCACUAUGGAAGUGAGAUUCACAACUGUCCUGAACGCAGCCGAGUGCACCAUUGAAAUCAAGCUCAUUGAGGGGCUUUUUAAAGGAAAUAUAACAGUUGGCAUCGCGGAUAAAGCUCACAAGCUGGACAUGGAACAAACGAUUGUGAUUCAUGAUAGCACAGCAGAUGGCGUGAUUACAAGUGAUGAAAGUGGAGUUAUCAAACUGCGGCGAAGUGUCAUUACUAUCUGUCUGGAAAGAACAGUGGUGUUUUAA